rnacentral:rRNA from 1 species
CCCUUAGACGUUCUGGGCCGCACGCGCGCUACACUGACCAGUGCAACAAGCAUCCGUCCUUGGCCGACAGGCCCGGGCAAUCUUUGAACGCUGGUCGUGAUGGGGAUAGACUUUUGCAAUUUUUGGUCUUCAACGAGGAAUUCCUAGUAAACGCAAGUCAUCAACUUGCAUUGAUUACGUCCCUGCCCUUUGUACACACCGCCCGUCGCACCUACCGAUUGAAUGGUCCGGUGAAGCCUCCGGAUUGGCGCGCAGCUCGGUGCCGCCGAGAAGUUGGCUAAACCUUACCAUUUAGAGGAAGGUGAAGUCGUAACA